rnacentral:miRNA from 1 species
AAUUCAGUUUGUUAUUGGUAUGAGCUUUCGUGUGCAUGCACACUUCUUCAGAUAUCUGAAGAAGUGUGCAUGCACACGAAAGCUCAUACCAAUAACAAACUUAGUUGG